UACGAGGGGGGCGAGCGUUGUUCGGAAUUAUUGGGCGUAAAGCGCACGUAGGCGGCAUUGCAAGUCGGAUGUGAAAUCCCUCGGCUUAACCAAGGAAGUGCAUCCGAAACUGCAGUGCUUGAGUACUUAAGAGGAUCGCGGAAUUCCCGGUGUAGAGGUGAAAUUCGUAGAUAUCGGGAGGAACACCAGUGGCGAAGGCGGCGAUCUGGGAAGAUACGUGACGCUG
rnacentral:rRNA from 1 species